UUCAGAGACAGUCAUAUUGGAGGCCA
rnacentral:piRNA from 1 species